UUAUUUUCUUUAUUGCAGGCCUUUUCAUCACAUACCUUGGUUUAUAUCUAAUGGAUGGGCAUGGUCAACCUGCCCUUCUAUACCUUGUUCCGUGUACACUAGGGGUUAUUAUUGUAUUGGGUUGGUUGAGGGGUGAGCUGAAGCACCUGUGGAACUAUGGAACUGACGAAUCAUCAAGCAAUGAACCUUCUGCCGAAGUCUGAAGCAAAUCAGCUGUUUCCCCAAAGCAAGAUAAUGGGCGAGCCCCUUGGAUCUGCUGAAAAUUGCCAGCACGGUAGAUGCUGGGUUAGGGCAUACCGGUUCUCCAAUCUCAGUCUUGACAAGAAUCAGAUCCAUUUGAUAUAGAGUGCAUUAUGAUGGAAGAGCAUAACUGUCUGGCUAUGAUAAUUAACCAUUCAAGCUUCCUGUUUAUAGUGAUUGUUCCUCUGUUUCUGCUUCCAGUCAUUCAGUAGGGUGUCAGCUCAACACAAUGUUCUUGAAAUUGUAAUGUCCGAAACUAAAUGAUGUUUUUCAUAAGCUCUUCAUCGGUUACUCUGAAAAGAAAAACAAUUUAUACGCAAAGAAGCCAUUAYCCAAUAUUGGUCCUAGUUAUUUGGGGUCUUGGGAGGCGUAGACUGGACGCGGCCCUAAACUUUGACAUUUUUAUUAAAAUUUGCUAUACAUGCAAUAAGGGGCAAUUUCAUCGGUAGUUUGCCA